AUAGUGAUGAUUUCAAUUAUAAUUUUCUGUCUCAUUGAGAUGUAUUGUCAUAGAAGGGCACCAAAGGAAGAUGAAGAAGGAUUCUCAAGGGGCAUUUCCAGACGUCUGCCACACAGGACAUGCUCAUCGAAAAGUGCGACUCAGGGUGGCUUUUUCUGAUUAAGAUGGCCACUCUGGCUUAGGGAUACGUACAGACCUCUCAGUGCCACACGCGUGAAAAACAUGACACGGAAGCUGCAUGACAAGGAGUCUUCCAAUGAGGACGAGAUCUUCAACAGGGACACUGCUGACAGUGAAGCCCCAACAGAGAAGACUCCAACUGGAGGGUCUGCUGCUGAGGGGUAGGAGAGUGAGGCCCUGCCGUAGGAGAACACUGAGUGACCCCAGCCCACCUCAGGCCUCCUGCAAAAUACUUAUUUUUCUCAUAUCAAAUAAUAUAAUUCUAGCCAUGCAGUAUGACAUUUAAAUGUGUAGUUAAAUAUUUGUGCAUAAAUAACAAGGACCAUCAGAAAGAAAAACAGUACUGAAGCCAGCGGCCCACAAAUCCACCAGAGGCAGCAGGCAGAGGAAGCACAUCCACCAGAGGCAGCGGGCAGGGGAAGCGCAUCCACCGGAGGCAGCGGGCAGGGGAAGCACAGCAGGCAGGGGAAGUGCAUCCACCAGAGGCAGCGGGCAGGGGAGGCACAGGGCCAUCUUGCCCUUCUUUGUUUCCGAGUCUAAUUAGUCACCCAGACCUGAAAACAUACCCUCAGCGGGUGGAGAUUUUACAUUUAAAUACCGUUGUUCUUGGUGCCUUCUCCCCUGGUUCAUCAAGCACCAGUCAUACAAUACAACAUACCUGACCUCCCACCCACAGGGAACCUCCCACCUCUGAUCCUUGCUAGGGAUCAGUUUCAGGGCCUCACAGAUCAAGUGUGAGGUGUUAAAUGUAGAAACAUUAACUCGCCAGUCUAAUGGGGAAACAGACAUGUAAACAAACAAAGCAGGUACAGGCAUUCCAGACAUAACAUUGUGUGCAAGGGCAUGGUGGGGUGAAAUAGGUGGAGGGGGCAGGUAGCACAAGACUUUGGCCCUGUGAGAGUCCCACGUACAUCGGGGAGAAUGAUGGCAGAGGAGGCUUUAAGUAGUCAGAGAUCUUGGGUACCUUGCACACUGGGCUCCUAGAGAUGGGGUAUACUCGAGAGUUUCAGGAACGGAAGAGGUCACAUUUGCAUUUCGAAUUGCACAUUUCAUCAGUUUUGAGGAGCAUGAUGCUGGGAGCCUGAGAUACUAAUUACAGAUUGAUCAUAAGAGACAGGACAAGAACCGAGAUGUGGCAGUGCAGAUGAUAAGGAGAGAGAGAGGAAGCAAAGAGAUCAACCAAGCUCUGACCUAGGUGCCCUAAUGCCAUUAUCCAGGCUAGGAAAUGGAGGGAAAGGGCAGAUAAUGAGCGUAGUCAAGCAAGCCUGGUCCAAUGGCACUUGCAAGAGAAAGUGUCCAGAAGGCAGGCGAAUAAACUAACUUGGUGCUCAGGUGGGAACUCGUCUAGAUUUAGAUCUGGCACUUUUAGACUGUGGCAGAUAGUAUGAGCGUGGCUAAGAUCAUCUAGGGAAGAUUGGGUGGGAAGGCCAAAGCUUUGGGGAAUGUCAGUAUUUAAUGAAGGUCAUGGGGCCAAUGAGGAGGGAGACUGAGAAGGGGUGUUUGGGCCAGCAGAGAUUCUAGCCAACAUGAAGAUGUCUCAAGGUUUGUUUCUUCUGGGCCUGGGAGCCUCAGGCCCAGAUCAAAUUUUUGUUUGUUUUUAUUUUUGAGACAGGAUCUUGCUCCAUUGCCCAGGCUAGAGUCCAGUGGCUCAGUCUCGCUGCAACCUCUGACUCCCUGGC